rnacentral:sRNA from 1 species
UAGUUGUAGUUGUCGUUUUUGUUGGUCAGACGAACAAUGUUUUGUUGUUAUUGAUUUUUCGCCACGCCCUUGCCGGAAUCCAUGAGUCCGUAAGUCCAUGAGUCCAUGAGUACAUGAGUCCGGGUUUUUCCCGGAUUCCGGAGACGCACGUUUCAUAUAUGUAGAUAGCAUGGCUAGCCGGCUGAAACAAAAUCCAUUAAUAUCCUUUAUCCCCUGGGGGCUAUUUAUGGCCGCAAAUGAAAAGGCAGAAAGCAAAUGUGAAAGCGAUUGCAUUAAGUUUUAAAUACGCGAAUUCAUCUAUUGGUUUGCUAAUAAAAUCAUGAAAUCCA